GAAAUGCGAUAAGUAAUGUGAAUUGCAGAAUUCAGUGAAUCAUCGAAUCUUUGAACGCACAUUGCGCCCGCCAGUAUUCUGGCGGGCAUGCCUGUUCGAGCGUCAUUUCAACCAUCAAGCCCCCGGCUUGUGUUGGGGACCUGCGGCUGCCCGCAGGCCCUGAAAAACAGUGGCGGGCUCGCUGUCACACCGAGCGUAGUAGCAUACAUUCUCGCUCAGGGCGUGCUGCGGGUUCCGGCCGUUAAACGACCUUCAUAACCCAAGGUUGACCUCGGAUCAGGUAGAAAGACCCGCUGAACUUAAGC
rnacentral:misc_RNA from 1 species